UUCUCUUUGGAGAUCCCUGUAUACCAAAGGUCUUCUGAAGGAAGCCAGAGGACCCACGAGCCUACUGCCCCCCUGUCAUGGGCACAGAUUUAUCUAGAUAACUCCAUGACAACUUGAGAAUCUAUCAGUUUGAUUUUAAUCUAUCUGAACAGGGGGAAACAAAGUUGGCCAAAAAAAUUCUAUUUAAUUUGAACAAAAUCUCACUGAAGAUUAAAAUAUGCUGCUUCUACUUCUGACAGAAGUUCCAUCUCCUCUUCUUUGGAUGAAAAAAACACAGUUAAUUUCCUCAUAGAUCAUUGAUUUUAGAUCCUACAGCAAGUAAGCCACACUGAAUGAUUAGCAGUGCCCUAGCUCUGUGUCUUUUUUUUUGUGUGUACUCAAUCUAGAAAAUCAAUAACAUGCUGACAGGUAGAGUCAUAUUUGAAUGCAGACAUGUAUUUCAACUGAAAUCCAGUUUUUAUUCUGCAGAGUCAUAGACUUGCUGCUUGGUUGUUUGUUUGGAUAUUGUGAUGUACUAUUAGUGGAUUUUACUGUUAAUCCUUAGAUUAAUUGAUUACAUUGUGAUAGUGAUAUUGUUAUGAAACUGAGACAAAACAAUUGCUUUUAAUAUUGAUGUCAUAUGUCAACAAUUUAUUACAUUCUUCUCCUUAGACAACUAGUUGGGUGUGAGGACAGAUCACUGGCUUAAAUGGCAUUGAAUGUUUAAUUAAAAUACAUGUAUGCAUUUUUUAUUGUUUUUCCUAUGUGUAUGGAAUGUAUGUAUGAACUAGCUCAUUCCACAAUUGAAAGGAGCUUUGCCUAUAAUUAAGGACACAAAAAUCAGAAACUGAGAUCUGAAUGCCACAUUUGCAAUAUAUGCAGUGCAGAUCUUGAAUUUUGAUUUUGAGUUUUUUAUUCCCUAGCAACUGUAAGUCACAACAUUACACCAAAGAGAAAAACAAAAAGCUCUGUACAUUGUAUGCAUAUGGACUGACAUGAUUGUAUCAUAGCUUUGUUUCCAAAAAUAUAUAUAUAGUUUUUUUCCCCAAUACUUCAGUCAAAGGCAAGGACAGAAAGAAUGGCUUUUGAAAGUAUGUACAGUAUGGCUCUCAAGAAUAUCAGAUCUAAGAUAAAUAAAAUCUAAGGUAGUUUCAGGAUAUCUUCAAGAAAUUCUUUAAAUGAAGCACAAAUAAAAUUUGUGUGGGUUU
ensembl:lncRNA